GGUGGCAGCUCAGUGGUUAAGGCAUUGGACUUCUGAUCAGAAGGUCAUGAGUUCAAAUCCAUGCACCACCA